CGGCCAACAGGCAGCCACACACACACACACGAACGGAUCGAACCCGUUGCGAGACGAACUUGGUUCGAGUUCGAGCAACGGGUCGAUCCAAGCCAUAGCCCAGCC
rnacentral:pre_miRNA from 12 species